rnacentral:lncRNA from 1 species
AAAAAAAAAAAAAAGAAGCAGCAGCAGCAGCAAAUUUCCAGGAAGAAGCAGGCUAUGGAGAUCAGGGCAGGCAAAGGACAGAAUUAGGUUAGUGCAUCAACUGGGUCCAACCAGGAAGACACAUGUGUUUAUCUCCUGCAGCACCAAAAACCACCCAGAAGACAGCUCAGUGGACCCUAGCAGUGGAUUCUACAUGUCUGCAGAAAAUGAGCAGAAAACAAGCCAGAGUUACAGCUAUCUGCAGAGAGACUACAUCCAGGAGGUCUGAAGACUGAAAGUAAUCACUGCAGUCUGACUUCUACCACUGACACCCUUCCCAUACAUAAUUUAAAUGUGUAAUUAUAAUACCAUUGCUUAGUUAACGGACACCAAUUCGUGCAGGAGCUGCCACAAACAGUAAUAAACCAGCUGUGUUAGAAAUGGAUCACUUAUCAGUGCGUGCCCAAGCCUCCUAAUGCCUCAUGAUGUUUAAUAAUUAAAUUGUGACACCUUGAACCCGCAGCUGACACCAUGAAUCACAGUGGAAUUCUCCAAAUGGAAUGCAGCCACACCUCAGCUUCUGUGCUGCGUGCUGCCACUGAGGACAUUCGAUACCAUUGAAGCCGUCAGAUAGAGGCCGUAUUUCAAAAGGUCUACGGUGGCUCCGUUUCUUCUCUGAGACUUCAAAAGUCCUUCAAGAGUGAGUUCCCGUCUCAUUCUAUGUCCAGGAUGAAGACGGAUGGCCUCUUGGCACCCAUCUCUUUGGCAUGAACGAUGUGGGGAAACGUGAAUGGAAAUGGGGAACUGUUGCUGGCACCCAGAAGUCAUCCGGUCCGGAUGAAGCCAAGUCACAAGGAAGUGCCUCCAAUUAUUCUUCAUAAAUUCCUCUGAGGUUUCACUUCUUGUCCACACAAGACUUUAAUAAAAUGUGGCAUCUAACUGAAUAAAGACUAUCCUUUCGGGUGUGUGUGUCAUGACAGUACUAUUUAUGGAGGACCUCCUGUGUAGCAGUUCUUGCACUGUUUUACGUAAUCAUCCCCUUUCAUCCUAACAAUCACUCCUGUGAAGUAUGUGUCCUUAUUUUCAUUUCGUUGUAGAGAAAACCAAGGCUCUGAGACAUUAAGCAAUGUGCCCAAGGACACACAGCUAGUAAGUGGCUGGAUUUGAGCGCAAGCCUACAAGAAACUGUCUCCCGUGAGCUAAAUCAGACAGUUUGGAGGGGACAGCUGAAGGUAGCUGAACGAAAGAGACAGCUCUUCGUUUCAGGGUGCACCUUUCCCCUUGGGGAAAAAUAUGAAGGGAAAUGUCAGCUUUGGACUAAAGCCCUUCAGCCUUCACCUGUGGCGUGGGAACUAACAUUUCUGCAGUGCUUCGUCAUCACAGAGCUCACUCACAUCGACUGUCUCUCCUCUCAUCGCAAACGCAGGCAGUGGGGGCUCACCGGGGAGAAAAUUUGGCUCUGUGUGGUUACGUGAGUUGCUGACAAUCACACGGCCAGCAAGCAGUAAACCAGAACUGGAGCCCAGACCCUGGGCCACUGCCCCUUCCACCAAGCUCUGUGGCCUUGCCAAAGGAAGACAAGGUCUGGGAGAGUUCUGGAAGGAUCUGCUGUCUGAGGCACCUCCUUUUAGGAGAAGUGAACUUGUGACUGAGACUAGAGGGAUAAGAAAUCAUGUCCCCUCCCUCCGUGUGUCUCCUGAGCCGACCUCAGCCUCCACCCACCUACCUGCUGGGUGGGGUCCUCCUGGGCCCCCGACCCAAACUCGGAGUCCACUCCAAUUUCUCCAGACGCCCCUCCCAGAUGGACAAUUCAAAUCCAAGCACGCCAAACACUGACCUACCCUCCUCCCUUAAACCCACUUCCCUUCCUCCCCUACCCCUCACUCUCCAGGCAGGUACCCCCAAGCCAGGAACUUGGAGUCGCCCUCGAUAGGCCCCUUACUCCCAUCCCUCAGGUUAAACCAUCACUGAGGCCAAUGGAUUCUAUUCCUAAAGGUCUCCAGACUCUCCUCCCUUCUCUCCCCACAACCCCACCUGGCCUCAGUUCCGGCCUCGUCGCAUCUACCUGAACACGUGUACCACCUUCCUUUUCACCCCUCCCAUGCCUCUUCCCACUGUGCUCAGAGCCAGGAGGUAAAUCCAACCGUGGGGGCCCACUGUGGCUCUGCAGGGGGCUCUUCUCACCCUACCCCCACCCGGGCUCACAGCAGGUGAGACGCAUCUUGCUGAGGCCCACGGCCCCGUCCAGCCCAGCUCUCAGCACACUGCCCCAGCCACACUGAACCCCUUGCAAUCCCCCAAGGUGAGGGGGCCACGAAGGGCAGGACGAGUUCAAGUCUUGCCAACUUCACUCAAAGACGUGGGCACACCAGAGGGGCCAAGUCCUGCCCUCUGCCUUCCGGAGUGAAGGCUACUCUGCCUCUUUCUACAGAUGCAAUGAAGGUCUGGAGGGAUGGGGGGGAAGAGAGGCUGGCCUGGCGGGCAGCCCUUGAGUGCAGAGAGGGGGUCCUGAGCCCCAGGCCUGCAGGUCAGAGCAGAGCCCUCUCUUCUCUAUCUGACAAGCACAGAGCACUUGCUGUGGGUGGCUGCAGUGCUGGGUGCUGGGGUUACCAACAUCACCUGGCCCUGGUCUGGCUCUUCAUGGGGCUCUCAGCCACUGGGAGAGCAGGCACAGGGGAUUGGGGCAGCAGAGGCUGAUAAAGGUAAGCAAAUCUCCUUUGGGAGAGCUUCGGAGAAAUACACACCCCAAACCGGGAACUGGUGUCAUGGAAGCUUCCCCAACGGGUUAACCUUGAACUGACUUUGAAGAACGAGGUGCCCAACAAGAAAAGGGCGAUGGGAGGGUGCUCUGCGGGGAGGGUGCUCUGCGGGGAGGGUGGAGACAUGAGGCAGCUUGGUGCUCUCAGUUUUCCUGAGCAGAUGAGAGUAAAGGAGGGAGGGCUAGGGGAGAGGCUGAUGAGAGGGCAGGCCAGUCAUGCCCCUUCUCUCUCCUGGAGCCAUGGGAGCCGCUGCUGGAGUUCAGCAGGAGGGGACAGGUGAAGUUGGUGGAGAACCAUCACUUUCUUCUCCUUUACUCCUGAGAGGCGCCAUGAAUGAGCCAAUUCAGGGCAGAAAGGGGCCCCCUGCUGCAGGGCCAUGGCACAGAGCCCCCCCAGGCUGGAGCAAGGCCACGUCCUCAAUGUCCCUUUUCCAGGCCAUCAUCCCAGAGGCUCGCGAAUCUGCAGAUGACUGUCUGCGCUGCCAUGGACUGAACAUUUACGAUACACCUACGCUAUGGACCGUGCUCCAUGUUGUCAGGAUGCAGAAGUGACAACUGAGAUUUCAGGACCGGGUCAAGCCUCAAAGAGUAGAACUCUGCCCUCCCCAAGGUCGCUGGGGAAAGUCAUGACAGCAGGAACCCCACAGAGUCCCAGCAUGAUGUGUGCAUUCUUAAUUCAUGUCACCUGAGCCUGGAAGCUCCUGUGUGCCUCAGUUUCCUCAUCUGGAAAAUGGGAAUAAUGAUCUACAGGGUUGCUAUGAGGAGCAAGUUAUAUAUAAAAAAUAUAUUUUUACA